GCCCGCGUAGCUCAAUCGGAUAGAGCGUGAGACUUUUAAGCCUUGGAUUAACACCAGGCGACGAGAUCUCAAGGCUGCGGGUUCGACCCCCGCCGUGGGCU